rnacentral:rRNA from 1 species
UACAGAGGUCUCAAGCGUUGUUCGGAUUCAUUGGGCGUAAAGGGUGCGUAGGUGGCGCGGUAAGUCGGGUGUGAAAUUUCGGAGCUUAACUCCGAAACUGCAUUCGAUACUGCCGUGCUUGAGGACUGGAGAGGAGACUGGAAUUUACGGUGUAGCAGUGAAAUGCGUAGAGAUCGUAAGGAAGACCAGUGGCGAAGGCGGGUCUCUGGACAGGUCCUGACACUGAGGCACGAAGGCCAGGGGAGCAAACCGG